rnacentral:tmRNA from 1 species
GGUUAAAUCAAUAGACAGGGCUAAGCAUGUAGAGCCGAAGGCGGAGGAUUUGCGGACGCGGGUUCAAUUCCCGCCGCCUCCACCA